UACGUAGGCAGCAAGCGUUGUUCGGAGUUACUGGGCGUAAAGGGAGCGUAGGCGGACAUUUAAGUCGGGGGUGAAAGCCCAGGGCUCAACCCUGGAACUGCCUUCGAUACUGGGUGUCUAGAGUAUGGGAGAGGUGUGUGGAACUCCGAGUGUAGAGGUGAAAUUCGUAGAUAUUCGGAAGAACACCAGUGGCGAAGGCGACACACUGGCCCAUUACUGACGCUGAGGCUCGAAAGCGUGGGGAGCAAACAGG
rnacentral:rRNA from 1 species